rnacentral:tRNA from 1 species
GGGUAUUUAGCUCAGCGGCAUAAGCGCCUGCCUUGUAAGCAGGCAAUCGCCAGUUCGAUCCCUGGUACCG